UGUAUUGGUUGGUGCAAAAGUGAUUGCGGUUUUUGCCAUUCCUUUUAAUGACAAAAACUGCAAUUACUUUUGCACCAAUCUAAUAAA
rnacentral:miRNA from 1 species